GACCACAAUCGUGCAAAAUUGCUUUUAUCUUUUGUCAAAAAGUUAAGUAAUUAAAAUGCUUACCAACGGUGGCGGAGUGGAAAGUGGUGCUACCGUCUACAACGUUUCGACUUCCGGUGAUAAUAGUUCUCGUCCGACCAUCUCCCAUAAACAUUAUAUUCUUUUUCUUCUUAGCAACCUCCACAUUCUCUCUGUAAACUCCGGCUUUUAUAUGUAUCACAUACCUCUUAUUACUAUUUUCAGGGGCCGCGGCAACCGCAGCAGCCACAGUUUUAAAUGUACCGCUACCGUCAGCUGCCACGGUGGCGUCAGCUUUCACACCUGAACCCUGAAGAAGCCUCCUAUCUCCAGCGGAUAACCAAGUUGG
rnacentral:lncRNA from 1 species